AGCGAACGCUGGCGGCAGGCCUAACACAUGCAAGUCGAACGGACCCUUCGGGGUUAGUGGCGGACGGGUGAGUAACACGUGGGAACGUGCCUUUAGGUUCGGAAUAGCUCCUGGAAACGGGUGGUAAUGCCGAAUGUGCCCUUCCGGGAAAGAUUUAUCGCCUUUAGAGCGGCCCGCGUCUGAUUAGCUAGUUGGUGAGGUAAUGGCUCACCAAGGCGACGAUCAGUAGCUGGUCUGAGAGGAUGACCAGCCACAUUGGGACUGAGACACGGCCCAAACUCCUACGGGAGGCAGCAGUGGGGAAUCUUGCGCAAUGGGCGAAAGCCUGACGCAGCCAUGCCGCGUGGAUGAUGAAGGUCUUAGGAUUGUAAAAUCCUUUCACCGGUGAAGAUAAUGACUGUAGCCGGAGAAGAAGCCCCGGCUAACUUCGUGCCAGCCGCCGCAGUAAGAC
rnacentral:rRNA from 1 species